rnacentral:tRNA from 18 species
AUCACUCUUGCCUUUCACGCAGGAUACAAGGGUUCGAGUCCCUGUCUC